UGGGGAAUCUUGGACAAUGGGCGAAAGCCUGAUCCAGCCAUGCCGCGUGAGUGAUGAAGGCCCUAGGGUUGUAAAACUCUUUCGGCGGGGACGAUAAUGACGGUACCCGCAGAAGAAGCUCCGGCUAACUUCGUGCCAGCAGCCGCGGUAAUACGAAGGGGGCUAGCGUUGUUCGGAAUUACUGGGCGUAAAGCGUGCGCAGGCGGCUUUUCAAGUCAGGGGUGAAAGCCCAGAGCUCAACUCUGGAAUUGCCUUUGAAACUGGAUGGCUCGAGUGCGGGAGAGGUGAGUGGAAUUCCCAGUGUAGAGGUGAAAUUCGUAGAUAUUGGGAAGAACACCGGUGGCGAAGGCGGCUCACUGGCCCGUUUCUGACGCUCAUGCACGACAGCGUGGGGAUCAAA
rnacentral:rRNA from 1 species